CUGGAGGAGGACAUAGAUGGACUGCCCUGUCAGUGACCUUAUGACCUCUACACUACCACAUCCACAUAGGGACACAUUGAUUAUUAAAGGGAUACUUCAUAUUUGUUUCCUUACCUUGUAUAAGCGGUCUAUGGACUUAACCCUAACCUCAACAGGACAGUUUUCUAACAACUUCCUCCUUGUCUUUUAGUGGAUCAUGCUGCUGCCAAAGCAGCAUCCUUUAAAGUAGCACCUUCCAAAAUGGGAAGCAGUGGAGGAGUCUGAUCUGGAGGCACAGGCCGUGACCACCUCUAAAUGGGAGAUCUUUGAGCAGCCGGAGGAGGAGAAGGACGAGGGUGACAGCGAUGAUGACACCAAGAGUUCUCGUUCAGAGGAGCCUCCGAGUUACUCCCAGCCCAUCAGAGACGACUUGGACUCCAAGACCAAGCACUCGGAGUUGAAUGAGGACAGGCGCACCAAGCUACGGGAGAUAGAGGUCAAAGUGAUGAAGUUCCAGGAUGAGCUGGAGUCUGGGAAAAGGCCCAAGAAGUCUGGCCAGAGUCUCCAAGACCAGGUGGAACACUACAGAGACAAGCUUUUACUCAAGGAAAAAGAGAAGGAGAAACUGGAAGGAGAGAGAGAGAAGGAGAAGAGAGAGAAGGAGAAGAGAGAGAAGGAGAAAAGCGAAGCUCGUUCAAAAGACGUCAAGAAGGAGAAGGAGGAGUCUACUCCGACCAGGAGAGACGAGUU